UACGGAGGAUGCGAGCGUUAUCCGGAUUCAUUGGGUUUAAAGGGUGCGUAGGCGGCCGUAUAAGUCAGUGGUGAAAUUUCGCAGCUCAACUGCGAGCGUGCCAUUGAAACUGUAUGGCUUGAGUACAGACGAGGAAGGCGGAAUGUGUUGUGUAGCGGUGAAAUGCAUAGAUACAACACAGAACACCGAUUGCGAAGGCAGCUUUCCAGACUGCAACUGACGCUGAUGCACGAAAGCGUGGGUAGCGAACAGG
rnacentral:rRNA from 1 species